rnacentral:rRNA from 1 species
AUACGUAGGUGGCAAGCGUUAUCCGGAUUUACUGGGUGUAAAGGGCGCGUAGGCGGGGAUGCAAGUCAGAUGUGAAAUCUAUGGGCUUAACCCAUAAACUGCAUUUGAAACUGUAUCUCUUGAGUGUCGGAGAGGUAGAUGGAAUUCCUUGUGUAGCGGUGAAAUGCGUAGAUAUAAGGAAGAACACCAGUGGCGAAGGCGAUCUACUGGACGAUAACUGACGCUGAGGCGCGAAAGCGUGGGGAGCAAACAGGAUUAGAUACCCUGGUAGUCCACGCUGUAAACGAUGAAUACUAGGUGUGGGGGGACUGACCCCUUCCGUGCCGCAGUUAACACAAUAAGUAUUCCACCUGGGGAGUACGGCCGCAAGGCUGAAACUCAAAUGAAUUGACGGGG